AGCGAACGCUGGCGGUAGGCCUAACACAUGCAAGUCGAACGGCAGCACAGUAAGAGCUUGCUCUUAUGGGUGGCGAGUGGCGGACGGGUGAGGAAUACAUCGGAAUCUACUUUUUCGUGGGGGAUAACGUAGGGAAACUUACGCUAAUACCGCAUACGACCUACGGUUGAAAGCAGGGGAUCUUCUCACCUUGCGCGAUUGAAUUAGCCGAUGUCGGAUUUGCUAGUUGGGGGGGUAAAGGCCCACCAAGGCGACGAUCCGUAGCUGGUCUGAGAGGAUGAUAGGCGACAUUAGAAGGGGGACAGCGUCCAGGGGACUGAGAGACGGCGCAGACGGGUAUAGUAGGCAAUAGGGGGAAACCUGGUCCAGCCAGAGCGAGUCGGAGGCAGAGGCGUUGGGGUUGUGAAGACCUUUUGUUGGGUAAGAAAAGCAGCAGGUUAAUACCCAGCUGUAGUGACGGUACCCAAAGAAUAAGCACCGGCUAACUUCGUG
rnacentral:rRNA from 1 species